rnacentral:snRNA from 1 species
GCGCUCACUUCGGCAGCACAUAGACUAAAAUUGGAACGAUACAGAGAAGAUUAGCAUGGCCCCUGCGCAAGGAUGAUACGCAAAUUCGUGAAGCGUCCCAUAUUUUU